GGAAGGAAGGAAGGAAGGAAGGAAGGAAGGAAGGGUGCUCAGGAGGAAAUGGCUGAUAAACAUCUCUCUUCUGAAACAGGCUCAGGGAUGCUAGCCCCAGUGACUGGGUCAUGGCCACAGAAGUUGAGAUCCUCUAAGUGGUUAGACAAUGUGGAGGUGUGGUCUCCUGGGACUGCUGCUCUUCCCAGAAGAGCAAAGAACCGGGGUGUGAUCACAGGUCAAUUCUCCCUGGGGUACAACAGUGGUGUGAUCACAGGUCAACUCUCCCUGGGGUACAACAGUGGUGUGAUCACAGGUCAGUUCUCCCUGGGGUAUAACAGUGGUGUGAUCACAGGUCAGUUCUCCCUGGGGUACAACAGUGGUGUGAUCACAGGUCAGUUCUCCCUGGGGUACAAUGGUCGCUUUCUUUCCCCCUUUCUCUCCACCCCUACUAGGACGACUCUGGAGGUGACAUAGGACCAUAAGAAAGUAAAUCAUGUGCCAAAGAUGGCAAAGGGCAUGAACAGGAGCCCUGGAUUCUCCUCAUGUGACUCAGCGUUGGACUCCAGGGACAAUGAAGAGACCCACAGCAUGGCCCGUGUCAACAAGUCCUCAGGGGCAGAGAAAUCUAACUCAGUUGCACAGAAUAAAAGACAGAAUAAUGAUCACCUCAGGAAGCAGAAGAGAUUCUUACCCAUGCUUGGUGUCACUUGUUGUGAGUUUUGAGACUUGGUGAAAAAUGACUUCCUCCAAAAAAGCUGCAGAAAUGAAAGAAAUCGGUCGGCGGGUCUGCUGACAGUCCUCUUCUAGCAAAGCUCAACGCAAAAGAAAUGGCAGGGGUAGUGACAAACUCUCCCAGGGAACAUUUACCCCGAAAAGUCUCUCUAGUCUUUACUCCCAAACAAUUAAGGUUAAACAUCAGCUUUAGUCCGGCACUGUGUUGGGUACCAAGAGAAGAGAGAUGAACAACGCUGGCUCAGGUCAUCGGAUUUCCGGCCUUUCUCACUGAAGCAUUUUGAAUUGUGUGGCCCUGACACUGUUGCAUACUCAACUCUGCUGAUGUGGUGUGAAGGCAGCCAGAGGCAGAAUGUUAACACAUAAACCUCCUCACUUUCCAAUAAAACUUUAUU